rnacentral:tRNA from 1 species
GCAUUGGUGGUUCAGUGGUAGAAUUCUCACCUCACAUGAGGGAGACCUGGGUUCGAUUCCUGGCCAGUGCA